GGUUAUAGUUGCGAGACCACGCCUUAGAAGACCCUGAAGGGCUUCCCUUGUGUGAUUCCCUCCAAGGGUCUCAACCUGUCCGGCACCUGCAAUUCCAUGAUAUCAUUAUCCCUGUGAAUACAACAGCCAGGACAGAUUUUGAGGGCGCGCAAAGAAUUUAGAGGGAUUUAAUAAAGGCUAUAUUCUAAGGAACCAAAUAUUACCAAUAUUAAAGGAGAUCAAGCUAUACAACAUACCUUCAGCUGUGAAAUACUGUUCCUUGAAGCCUUCAGUCCAGAUAUGAUGCCUUUCACUUCCUCGUUGACUAUCAACAGCAAAGUCAUCGCACUCAAGCGAACAGACCACUCCAUAUUUACCAAUUAUAAUAGCAAUGCUUAUAAGUUAUUUUAUAACAGCACGAACUGAAACUGUAAUUAAGAUACUAGUAUGUUGGAUUUAUAA